rnacentral:lncRNA from 1 species
GUCGACGUGGAGGAGGCGGGGGAAGAGUUUAGUCCCGGUUGUGUGCAUCCAGCCGGGGGUGAAGCCUUUAUUCAUUCUGGCAUUUAGCCGGAGAUGACCUAAUUGGACGUUGUCCGCGCCGGCCUUUGAGUCGUUUCACCAGUCUCAUUGACGUCCUCACGUUGGCACGAUCCUGACAUGUCACAGAGAAUAAGCCCGGUUCAAGUAGUGUCAGGCCAGUGGGGGACGGUAUCCUGCGAGUCUCGGAGUUUGAAGAGAUUCAUUUCUCUCCUGGAAAUCAGCCCUGUCAAGGCUGGCUUUCAGUGCUCCUCCUGUAAAUUCUCAUAGUACUAUGCACGCCUCAUACACCGCGCUAGGCGCUGAGUGUAAAGCAGAGAACAAAAGAGGUGAAAUACUUGUUCCCAUGAAGCUAAAAUUCUAGUGCCUGACACAGAAACUGAAGGGUUUUUUUCCAACACAAAUUUCAGCCUAAAAGGUCAAGGUCAACCACAUUUUAAGAAAACCCAAUGUGAAAGUCCACACACAGAAACAGAAAACCUUAAUUUGUG